AUGAUCUUUGUGUUGUUCAUAACGCAGAUCAAGAUGGAGAACAAUGACAAGGGCAAGGAGGUGGUGCCACCCUUGGACAAGGGCAAGGAGGUGGUGACGCACAUGGCCGAGGAGGUGCCGUCCACGGAUGAUGAGCUCGAGUGCAUACCAAUGCCUCUAGGUUUCACCAAGCACUUCCCGUCCGUGCCGACGGAGUUCAAGCUCAAGACGAACACCGACUGCUCAUGGAGGGUCACCGUGGGGUUGAUGAACGACAGGGUCGCCCUCGACCAGGGUAGGGCCAGCUUUGCCACCGUCCAUCAGAUCAAUAUCGGGUACAUGGUGACCUUCAAGUUGCUAACUCCCAACACGCUCAAGGCCAUCGUCUUCAACGACGACGACAUUGAAGUGGCUGCCCUCGAACCGCACCGCACCGCACCGCACCGGCACCACCCCACUCAUCCAAACCAACCAACGGCACAGAAACGAACCGGCAGGCAGCCGCUACGGCCACCCUCGCCCUGCGCCCCCGUUCACCACCACCAUCACGUGUCCUCUUGUUCUGCGACUGACGUGCGGCCCACCACGCGCCCACGCGGCAGUGCCCCCAGCGCGUGCGACCACGUCGCUGGCCGACCGUCCGUCCGCCCGUUCCAGGCCGCCAAAAGCAACUUUUACCACUCACCGCGCGCGCCGCUGACGAGGUGGGCCGCGACGACGCGUGAACCGGCCCGUCACCGGGGCCCACCCGUCAGACACACCUAUCAUUUAUUUUUAGGAGAAAUAAGAUCAUCGAUCAAUUACUCCCCCCCGCGCCCUUGGCCUUGGCCUCUUCUUCUCGCCGUCCGCGACGACCACUCGGAGAAGAAGAAGACGAGGAGGGGGAGGAAGCCAGCUCCCAUAAAUACCCACCUCCACCUCCAGCUCCGUCCCCGAGUCGAGUCGAGUCGCGAGCGGAGCUGGAUCGGAAUCGACAGCGACCUCCCCCUCCUCCGCCACGCGUAUUUCCUCCUCCUCCUCCUCCUUACCCACUAA
rnacentral:rRNA from 1 species